rnacentral:tRNA from 1 species
GCGGUCGUAGCUCAGCUGGUUAGAGCAUCCGCCUGUCACGCGGAAGGCCGAGGGUUCGAAUCCCUUCGACCGCG